AUCGAACGCUGGCGGCAGGCCUAACACAUGCAAGUCGAACGAGUGGCGGACGGGUGAGUAAUGUCUGGGAAACUGCCUGAUGGAGGGGGAUAACUACUGGAAACGGUAGAUAAUACCGCAUACUAUCGGAUGUGCCCAGAUGGGAUUAGCUAGUGGGUGGGGUAAAGGCGCACCUAGGCGACGUUCCCUAGCUGGUCUGAGAGGAUGACCAGCCACACGGGAACGGAGACACGGUCCAGACUCCAACGGGAGGCAGCAGUGGGGAAUAUUGCACAAGGGGCGCAAGCCGGAUGCAGCCAUGCCGCGUAGAUGAAGAAGGCCUUCGGGUUGUAAGGUACUUUCAGCAGGGAGACGUUACCCGCAGAAGAAGCACCGGCUAACUCCGUGCCAGCAGCCGCGGUAAUAC
rnacentral:rRNA from 1 species